UCCCUUGUCUGAUUCGGUGCUGGCUGGGGGCCAGGACUGCCUCCCUAAACAAACAGGCAGGGGCACAGACAGCCCGGGGUUCAGUUGUUGCACUUACUCCUCUUGCCACAGCAGGAACAAGAGGCGCCCGGAAAACCCUAGCUCUUCUCCGUCUCUUCCGUGAGCACACCCUGGCCCUGGGGCCGGAGAGCUUUCGAUGCAGGCGCAGACACGAACUCCAGAACUCCGGAGGCAACAGCAAGGCUGGCCACACCACCCACCCCACUACCUCCGGCCCCGCCACUCAACCAGCCAUCAGUCCCUUCACUGCCAGUGUUCGUCGACCAUGCAAACAACCAAGCAAAGAACUCAUUAAGCCCAAAGCAAUUUUAGAAAGACUCACAGAGGCUGCUAGUGCCAAUGCUGCUGGUGCUGCUGCUGAGGAGUGCCCAGGGUUGGGCGCCAGGGGAGUUGGAGUCAAUAACCAUCACUGUCAGAUCUGCCGACCCCCAAGCCAGUUUCUCCAGUCAGGCUGGAGUGCAAUGGUGCAAUCUUGGC